rnacentral:lncRNA from 1 species
UUAAAUUGAAUCUUUUAAUUUGGGGAGGGACAUUAAAACAAUUUUUCAUUGAGCCAAGCGCACCUUUUGCAACGCCCUGAUGAUGAUGAUGGGGACAAGAAAAUUAUGUUGAAAAAGUAUUUCUUUUUAAGGCCAUAAUUUGGCAAUCAAGGAGAUUCGGUGAAUGUAAUUAAUAAUGUUUCCAAUUUUUAAUAAUUGGAUUAUCUGUAUUUUAUGUUACAUUACCGCUGUUGAUGAAAG